UUCUUUUGGCCACCGCACCUUGGGUCGGAUCAGUGUCCUCCUUAAGGACUCUUGCAGUAUUUUUACAAUUUUACUGCAAAUAGUUGUGAAUGCUGGAAAGAAGUGGUGUAAGGCAGAUAUAUGCUGAUGCGUUUUUUUCCGGCCAGUUUGCCUGCUGGGCUGGGAUCUUGGUAGUAAUAAUGGACGGUUGUAAUGGAGGGCGUAAGGGAGAGGGCGCUUCACACUGGAAAACCCGAUCACUGAUUUAAACUGGGAUGUUAUUCGGUAUCCAAUGCAAAUGAAAUAUAGACUGGAGCCUAAAUAAGCCACAUGUACAAUGAACGCCACUUCCAUACCAGGGUAAUAUUUUCCACUACAGAAAAUGCUCCAUUAGCAGCCGAAGGAAUGCGGUGGACGCAAAUCUGAGCAGAGCAGCGCUGGGAAAGUGUUACAUCUCCUUUGCGAUCUACAGAAAAUGAUCUACUUUCAAGGUUUACAUUCGCUGCUGGUUUGUACAGAAAAAUACAAAAAAAUGAAGACAGUCCAGAGUCCGUUCGAAAGUAGACCCGAAUUCAAACAAGACUUGUGAAGUAUUUGAGAGUCAGACUCAUAGUUGAUAGAUCAAACAGGAAGAAAGACUUCACGUUUCCUCUAUUAAUCAACUCAUGUUUCAAGAUGCAAUCAGCAUUUGUCUGACUUCAAAGCAGAAACUUCAGCUCAUUUGCACUCCUUAGACAACUGCAAGCAUCACCACUGAUAAUGCCUGAUGGAUGAAAUGCACUGACUUUACUGUAAAUCACACAGUUCGGCUAGCUGGUAUACAUUUUGUUACAAGUUCUGACGAACAGACAGAGAAAGUUAAUGACAACAAGACCUAUGUAAAAAUUCAAUUAAUCAAUCAGGUAAAUACUGAAAACCUCCCCAGUUUGUGCCUUAUAUUAAUGGGCAAUGUUGUCGGGAUACUUAUUUCAAUUACUGGCAGCCCCCCUCCCCAGAGGGCAUGGUAUAUGCAUUAGGGUCCAGGGCAUGGCAUAUGCAUUAGGGCCCCAGAGGGCAUGGCAUAUGCAUUAGGGCCCAGUGCAUGGUGUGUGCUUUAGGGCCCAGGAUGUGGUGGGUGCUUUAGGUUAGCUAUGUAACUCCUGCUCAUAGUCUUACCCUAAUAUUAUUAAGUGACAUUUAAAGUAGUGAAAAGUCAUACAUUACUUAAAGGGCCACCGCACCCAAAAGGUGAAUAAAUAUGUUUUAUGUCCCUCCUUCAUGCCUUGGUGCAUGCUGAAUGCCUCCCCCCUUAUUUUUCCCAAUUGAACCAUUCUUUUCUGUCUAAGGAGAACAGCCGGAUACCUUCUAGUUCAUGUAAGAGUCUCUGAGCCUGUUCAUUCCCUGGCCAUAGGGCCCAAUCAGCCCAUUCAUUCCCUGGCCAUAGGGUCCAAUCACCCCAUUCAUUCCUUGGCCACAGGGCCAAAUCAGCCCAUUCAUUCCCUGGCCAUAGGGUCUAAUCACCCCAUUUAUUCCCUGGCCACAGGGCCCAAUUAGCCCAUUCAUUCCCUUGCCACAGGGCCCAAUCAGCCCAUUCAUUCCCUGGCCAUAGGGCCCAAUCAGCCCAUUCAUUCCCUGGCCAUAGGGUCCAAUCAUCCCAUUCAUUCCUUGGCCACAGGGCCAAAUCAGCCCAUUCAUUCCCUGGCCAUAGGGUCUAAUCACCCCAUUUAUUCCCUGGCCACAGGGCCCAAUUAGCCCAUUCAUUCCCUUGCCACAGGGCCCAAUCAGCCCAUUCAUUCCCUGGCCAUAGGGCCAAAUCAGCCCAUUCAUUCUCUGGCCAUAGGGUCUAAUUACCUCAUUCAUUCCCUGGCCACAGGACCCAAUUAGCCCAUUCAUUCCCUGGCUACAGGGCCCAAUUAUCCCAUUCAUUCCCUGGUCACAGAGCCCAAUGAGCCCAUUCAUUGCUUGGAUACUGGGCACAAUCAGCCCAUUUAUUCCAUGGCCAUAGGGUCUUAUCAGCCAGUUCAAUUUCAGGAGCAGAGAGAGACAGAUGGACGGUCAUAGGCCAGUCCACACACUUGGCAAACAUUCUUUCAACAUCCAUGGAACUUUUAAUCCCCGUAAUGACUCUCUCUAUUAUGUGCUGUCACGCAGGAAGCAAGUAUGCCUUCAUAGAUGUCUUCCCUGGUUAGUGCAAUAUACCACUUGGCAAAGUAUGCCUCAUAAGUGUUACUCAACUGGGGCACCACAGCUGCUUCUCUUCCCCAGGAUAGGAAUGUCAGCAAUGGCUAGUCACUCCAACCCUCUUCAGGCUAUCCUCUGCAGUUCCCAUCUAGCUAAUUGAACAUGGCUCACCUGGGACACAGUCACGGCUUCAUCUCUCUGCAUUAUAUGGGAGGCCAGCUGAAUCACCAUAAUGUUUAUCACAGAGUGAGGCAGUGACAUUUGUGCUGCACAGAAUAUCAAGCCAAGUAUUAUUAUUAUAAUUAUUAUUAUUAUUAUUAUUAAUCUUAUUUUAUUAUACUUAAAAAUACUUAAUGGGGAAGAUGUGAUUAUUUUACAGCCAAGGUUUCUUCUCCUUUCACAAUGAAUUCUGUGUCAUCUUUUAAAUGCAUUGUAAAGGUACAGCAUUUUCUGUGGCCUUCUUUUCUGUCUACUCACUCCCAUUUGCAGUACUGUGAUUUCUUGUUGUUUUUUUUGUUUGUUUUUUUGUUUUUGAUUGCCUGUUUGCAGGAGUGUCAGUUUACAUUUUUCAUUGACUCCUUUGAUGUUUCUUAGGGGCUAUUUCACUAAAUGAAUUUAUAAGGUACAUUUGAAUAUUAGAUUCUCUUUUAUAACUGACACGAUACUGCAUAGCAGACUACCUCAAUGGUCUUCCUAGGAAGUCUGAACGUAGUUAAAAGCUUCUAAAGUUUUGUCUUCGCUAUAAUCGGUAGCCUAGUAAGAUUAACGUGGUAGAUACAAGUAACUUCUGCCACACUCCCUGACUUCUUGAACUAAAAGUGCUUGUAUGAGGCUGUAACAAGUACCAAAAAGGAAAUAACACAACCUUUCUCUAAAGGCCAAAUGGAUGAGAUAAGAUAACCUGGAGAAAUGGCAGUAGAAGUAAAUAGUGACCGCAUUACUUAAAUGAUGUUAUCUUCACAUAUGUUACCUUGACGUUAUGAAAAUGUAAUGUCAGGGUGAAAUUUGUCUUCAAAUCCAGAGCAGGUGAGUGACCCCCAUUGUCCUCUACAUACAGAUAAUUUGCUGACAAAAUCUAGGUUCAGUGAAUGCCAGUCUCUCCCAAGUUGUGUUUGUUACAUAUAUGAACAACAAAGAUGCUCAUAAAAUGAUUUAUGUAAAGGCAGUAAUAACUACAUUACUAGUCAUUGUACUUAUCUUCAUGUUAAACAAAACAACCAAAAUAUUUGUUUCAAAAAUUAAACAAAUGCAUUAUUUUUGAACAGCACACAAACUAUGCAUAUAUUAUUCAGUGCCAUUUUAAUUCAUCUGUAUGAAGCAUUUCAUUCAAUACCCUCAGAUCUUUUGUAAGUUGCUUCUGUUUUGAAAAUUUAAUAAACAUAUGGAAAUAAUAUGUUUCAUUAAAUAAUAUAGCCUAAGGGUCACUGGAUAUGGCUUAUGCCUUGCCAUUUGAGUUUUCAGAGUUCAGUCCUGAAAUCUAGUCACCAUUUGUGCAUAAACUGCAUAUCGUUGUGGGUUUUGUUACAUACGACAGUCUCCUCGUACCACCCUAAUACAUGCUAAGCAACUGGUUAGUUUAAACUGUGCAUACAUGUUGCAUUCAUCCUUGCUCUUAUGGCACAAAUCAUGGCUGAAAAGUGUUUGAGAAAGAUCAUCUUCAUUUAUGUGGUUAAAAAUACAUCUUCCCAAAAUUCUACGUUGUAGACUUCACAAAAAUAUAAUGUAAUUGUUUGUGAGCUGAAUGAUUUUUGAAAUAUUAACAAAAAUGUGAAAAUCUUCAUAAUCAUCUUUAGAAGGAAUAACUCAUUACUCCAACUCAUG